rnacentral:snRNA from 1 species
AGACAGACUUGCGUGAACGUUGU